GAAUAUUGGACAAUGGGCGAAAGCCUGAUCCAGCCAUGCCGCGUGUGUGAAGAAGGUCUUCGGAUUGUAAAGCACUUUAAGUUGGGAGGAAGGGCAGUAAGCGAAUACCUUGCUGUCUUGACGUUACCGACAGAAUAAGCACCGGCUCACUCCGCGCCAACAGCACCGGUAAUACAGAGGGUGCAAGCGUUAAUCGGGAUUACUGGGCGUAAAGCGCGCGUAGGUGGUUCGUUAAGUUGGAUGUGAAAUCCCCGGGCGCAACCUGGGAACUGCAUCCAAAACCGGCGAGCUAGAGUAGGGCAGAGGGUGGUGGAAUUUCCUGUGUAGCGGUGAAAUGCGUAGAUAUAGGAAGGAACACCAGUGGCGAAGGCGACCACCUGGGCUCAUACUGACACUGAGGUGCGAAAGCGUGGGGAGCAAACAG
rnacentral:rRNA from 1 species